CCAGAGCCUGAAUCAGUGUGUGUGUUAGUGGAAGCGUCUGGAAAGGCGUGCGAUACAGGGUGACAGCCCCGUACACAAAAAUGCACAUAUUGUGAGCUUGAUGAGUAGGGCGGGACACGUGGUAUCCUGUCUGAAUAUGGGGGGACCAUCCUCCAAGGCUAAAUACUCCUGACUGACCGAUAGUGAACCAGUACCGUGAGGGAAAGGCGAAAAGAACCCCGGCGAGGGGAGUGAAAAAGAACCUGAAACCGUGUACGUACAAGCAGUGGGAGCACGCUUAGGCGUGUGACUGCGUACCUUUUGUAUAAUGGGUCAGCGACUUAUAUUCUGUAGCAAGGUUAACCGAAUAGGGGAGCCGAAGGGAAACCGAGUCUUAACUGGGCGUUAAGUUGCAGGGUAUAGACCCGAAACCCGGUGAUCUAGCCAUGGGCAGGUUGAAGGUUGGGUAACACUAACUGGAGGACCGAACCGACUAAUGUUGAAAAAUUAGCGGAUGACUUGUGGCUGGGGGUGAAAGGCCAAUCAAACCGGGAGAUAGCUGGUUCUCCCCGAAAGCUAUUUAGGUAGCGCCUCGUGAAUUCAUCUCCGGGGGUAGAGCACUGUUUCGGCAAGGGGGUCAUCCCGACUUACCAACCCGAUGCAAACUGCGAAUACCGGAGAAUGUUAUCACGGGAGACACACGGCGGGUGCUAACGUCCGUCGUGAAGAGGGAAACAACCCAGACCGCCAGCUAAGGUCCCAAAGUCAUGGUUAAGUGGGAAACGAUGUGGGAAGGCCCAGACAGCCAGGAUGUUGGCUUAGAAGCAGCCAUCAUUUAAAGAAAGCGUAAUAGCUCACUGGUCGAGUCGGCCUGCGCGGAAGAUGUAACGGGGCUAAACCAU
rnacentral:rRNA from 1 species